UACGUAGGGUGCGAGCGUUGUCCGGAAUUAUUGGGCGUAAAGGGCUCGUAGGCGGUUUGUCGCGUCGGGAGUGAAAACCUUGGGCUUAACUCAGGGCUUGCUUUCGAUACGGGCAGACUAGAGGUAUGCAGGGGAGAACGGAAUUCCUGGUGUAGCGGUGAAAUGCGCAGAUAUCAGGAGGAACACCGGUGGCGAAGGCGGUUCUCUGGGCCAUUCCUGACGCUGGGACGCGAAAGCUAGGGGAGCGAACAGG
rnacentral:rRNA from 1 species